rnacentral:rRNA from 1 species
UUUUAAUCUUAUCGGUGGAUCACUCGGCUCGUGGGUCGAUGAAGAGCGCAGCUAACUGCGAUAACUAGUGUGAACCGCAGAAACAUUGAACACUAAAGUCUCGAAUGCACAUUGCGCCAUUGGAGUCAUAUCCAUUGGAGCGCCUGGUUCAGGGUCAUAA